rnacentral:rRNA from 1 species
AAUGAACGCUGGCGGUAGGCCUAACACAUGCAAGUCGAACGGCAGCACAGUAAGAGCUUGCUCUUACGGGUUGCGAGUGGCGGACGGGUGAGGAAUACAUCGGAAUCUACUUUUUCGUGGGGGAUAACGUAGGUAAACUUACUCUAAUACCGCAUACGACCUACGGGUGAAAGCAGGGGAUCUUCGGACCUUGCUCGUUUGAAUGAGCCGAUGUCGGAUUAGCUAGUUGGCGGGGUAAAGGCCCACCAAGGCGACGAUCCGUAGCUGGUCUGAGAGGAUGAUCAGACACACUGGAACUGAGACACGGUCCAGACUCCUACGGGAGGAAGCAGUGGGGAAUAUUGGACAAAGGGCGAAAGCCUGAUCCAGCCAUACCGCGUGGGUGAAGAAGGACUUAGGGUUGUAAAGACCUUUUGUUGGGAAAGAAAAGCAGCAGGUUAAUACCACGCUGUUCUGACGGUACCAAAAGAAUAAGCACCGGCUAACUUCGUG